UCCCGGUUAACCCGGGCGGUCUUGUUUGAAAAUUCAACAAACAAUAGGGGUUGCGCUCGUUGCGGGACUUAACCCAACAUCUCACGACACGAGCUGACGACGGCCAUGCAGCACCUGUCACUGCGUUCCCCACAUAGAGCACAAAAUAAAUUUAUGCUCUUUGUGGGGCACUCGAUGGUUUCCCAAAGAUUCGCAGGAUGUCAAGCCUCGGUAAGGUUCUUCGCUUAGCCUCGAAUUAAACCACAUGAUCCACUGCUUGUGCGGGUCCCCGUCAAUUCCUUUGAGUUUUAAGCUUGCGCUCGUACUCCCCAGGCGGAUCACUUAACGCGUUAGCUUUACGACGCAGAGGGUCGAAACCCCACAUCGUUAGUGAUCAUCGUUUACGGCGUGGACUAC
rnacentral:misc_RNA from 1 species